CCUACGGGAGGCUGCAGUGGGGAAUAUUGCACAAUGGGGGAAACCCUGAUGCAGCGACGCCGCGUGAGUGAAGAAGUAUUUCGGUAUGUAAAGCUCUAUCAGCAGGGAAGAAAAUGACGGUACCUGAUUAAGAAGCCCCGGCUAACUACGUGCCAGCAGCCGCGGUAAUACGUAGGGGGCAAGCGUUAUCCGGAUUUACUGGGUGUAAAGGGGGCGUAGACGGCAGCACAAGACUGGAGGGAAAUGCCGGGGCUUAACCCCGGGACUGCUUUGGAAACUGUGUGGCUAGAGUGCAGGAGAGGUAGGUGGAAUUCCUAGUGUAGCGGUGAAAUGCGUAGAUAUUAGGAGGAACACCAGUGGCGAAGGCGGCUUACUGGACUGUAACUGACGUUGAGGCUCGAAGGCGUGGGGAGCAAACAGGAUUAGAUACCCUUGUAGUC
rnacentral:rRNA from 1 species